rnacentral:rRNA from 1 species
GAACGGAGGUUUAGAGGAGCUUGCUUUUUAAGCUUAAGUGGCGAACGGGUGAGUAACGCGUGAGUAACUGCCCCUAGAGUGGGGGACAACAGUUGGAAACGACUGCUAAUACCGCAUAAGCCCACGGUACCGCAUGGUACUGAGGGAAAAAGGAUUUGUUUCGCUUUAGGAUGGACUCGCGUCCAAUUAGCUAGUUGGUGAGGUAACGGCCCACCAAGGCGACGAUUGGUAGCCGGACUGAGAGGUUGAACGGCCACAUUGGGACUGAGACACGGCCCAGACUCCUACGGGAGGCAGCAGUGGGGGAUAUUGCACAAUGGGGGAAACCCUGAUGCAGCGACGCCGCGUGGAGGAAGAAGGUUUUCGGAUUGUAAACUCCUGUCGUUAGGGACGAUAAUGACGGUACCUAACAAGAAAGCACCGGCUAACUACGUGCCAGCAGCCGCGGUAAAACGUAGGGUGCAAGCGUUGUCCGGAAUUACUGGGUGUAAAGGGAGCGCAGGCGGGAAGACAAGUUGGAAGUGAAAACCAUGGGCUCAACCCAUGAAUUGCUUUCAAAACUGUUUUUCUUGAGUAGUGCAGAGGUAGAUGGAAUUCCCGGUGUAGCGGUGGAAUGCGUAGAUAUAUGGAAGAACACCAGUGGCGAAGGCGGCUCUCUGGUCUGCAACUGACGCUGAGGCUCGAAAGCAUGGGUAGCGAACAGGAUUAGAUACCCUGGUAGUCCAUGCCGUAAACGAUGAGUGCUAAGUGUUGGGAGGUUUCCGCCUCUCAGUGCUGCAGCUAACGCAUAANGCACUCC